GUGAAUCAUCAAAUUUUUGAACGCAAAUUGCACUCUCCUCGGAGAGUAUGCCUGUUUUAGGGUCAGCCUAUAAAAAAUCGACAUCGUUUCUGUUUCGCGGUGGCGUUCGUCGGAAAUUGGGUCAUCUUAAAUCUUUUGGGUUUUAGCGACUUUAAAUUUUCCUUUUUGGUCCAUGAACGUUUCUAAGAUUUAUUUCUUUACACGUUUAAGGUAUCGAUUUUUAUUAGACGUGAACAUCAUAUCGGUACGCCCCCAAAAUCUUUCA
rnacentral:misc_RNA from 1 species